ensembl:ncRNA C42D4.17 ncRNA
UCUUUCUAUUUCUCUAAUUCUCUUCAAAGACACAAACAUCGACUUCAUUAGGUGAUAGACAGUAAGUGAAACAGUAAAUAAAUAGAAGAGAGUUAAGAGAAUUAGAGAUGAUAUGGCACACCGGAAGGCGACAAGAAAAGCUAUU